GCCUCUCUGAUGUGCCUCUACCUAACCUGGAUUGGACACUGUUCUGUGAUGGAAGUUUGAGGAUGGUGAAUGUUUCUGCUGUAGUCAUGACAGAUUCUGUUAUAGAGGCCGAGCCCCUCCCAUCUCACUACAGUGCCCAAGCGGCUGAGCUACAUGCACUCACACUUGCUUGUCAGCUCUCAAAGGACAGGUGCAGAAUUCCUUCACCUCCCAAACAUGCCAUGAUACUGCCUGACAACCCACUAUUCGCCAUCAACUCUGCAAGAAUGAUGGGGAUUGUUAAUUGUUGUUAAUAAAUCUGGGAGGGGAUGUUUCUGCACUAUGUCAUGCCACACACAUAUGUCAUGCCACACACACAUUUACAGCAUAGGAAUGUUUAGGUAGUUGUCUACUCCACCCGAUGGCGACUAGCGUCCGGUAAUAGCGGAAUUGCCUACUACCUAAUAACUUCACUCCUACCUUGUUUUUGCUUACCCUCUUGUAGUCCUGUGAACCAUCUUGGAUGCAAGCACCCAUGUACUAAUAGCAUUGUGAUUGUCAAACCGCCAUGAGUCACAUUUAAUUUUUGUGAUCGCGGCACUUUGACGUUUGCGAUCAAAGGGGGGAAUGUUAUGAGCUGCUUAUUCUAUUUUCAUUAUUUUAUAUGUUUAACCAAACUUUUCCUUUUCUUUUACUGAACUCUUCUAUGAAACUGCAGAUAUAUUACUUCUGUAUUUUCCAGCAAUUCACUCCUGACCUAAUAAGUGAUGUAUCUUUAACAACUUACUUUUAGCCUAAAAAGUAUAUAUCAGUACAUCUUAAAGUUAUGGCUUCUCCCAUACAUUGUUUUUUUAAAUAUCUGAAACUCAAGGUAAAAUCCAAGGCUUCUCUGUACAGUAUCAACUUCUCAAUCCAAUUAGCUAGCUAGCCUCUGGUCACAUUCCAAGAAAAAAUAUCUCCCAAAUUUUAACAUAGAGGACCUGUUUUUUUUCUUCCUUUCCUAGUAACCACUAAUCAUGUGAGAUUUAUUGGCCAAUCAUUAUCAGCCAAUUAGCUCUCUGCUUUGUAAGUUACUGUAAUAGUAUAAAAAUGCAUGUAUAUGAAAAUGUGUUAGUCUUGCGUUGCUGUUUUUUGUUCUGGGACACUGUUGCAACAGUGUAAUAAAGAUUUCCUUCACCUGAGGUGAGCCCUUGUUUGAUAAA